rnacentral:rRNA from 1 species
CCUACGGGAGGCAGCAGUAGGGAAUUUUGCGCAAUGGGCGCAAGCCUGACGCAGCAACGCCGCGUGAUCGAGACGCCCUUCGGGGUGUAAAGCUCCGUCAGCGGGGACGAAACUUGACGGUAUCCACAGAGGAAGCACCGGCUAACUCGGUGCCAGCAGCCGCGGUAAUACGGGGGGUGCAAGCGUUGUCCGGAUUCAUUGGGCGUAAAGAGUUCGUAGGCGGGACGGAAAGUCUGGUGUUAAAGCCGGAGGCUCAACUUCUGUACGGCACUGGAUACUUGUGAGCUCGAGUGCGGUAGAGGUAAACGGAAUUCCUGGUGUAGCGGUGAAAUGCGUAGAUAUCAGGAGGAACAUCAGUGGCGAAGGCGCUUUGCUGGACCGUAAUUGACGGUGAGGAGCGAAAGCCAGGGUAGCAAAUGGGAUUAGAUACCCCUGUAGUC